ensembl:lncRNA
CAGUAGGACUAGAAACCAUUCCUGUUGUUCCUCUUUCCCCCAGUAGGACUAGAAACCAUUCCUGUUGUUCCUCUUUCUCUCAGUAGGACUAGAAACCAUUCCUGUUGUUCCUCUUUCCCCCAGUAGGACUAGAAACCAUUUCAGUUGUUCCUCUUUCUCCCAGUAGGACUAGAAACCAUUCUGGUUGUUCCUCUUUCUCCCAGUUAAUCCACUUUUAAUGUAGAAGUGUUCAGAAACAUGUUCUAUUCUUAUUUAAAAAGGUAAAAGUGACUCCAAAUGACCAUUAUUUGUAUUGGGCACAAAAUGAUCUGAUCUACAACCAAAACAAACAGCCAAUGCAUCCACGUUUCUAGAGUCACAGCUGGAUGUUGUCAUUGUGUUCUAAGAAUCAGGGACAUCCACGUUUCUAGAGUCACAGCUGGAUGUCGUCAUUGUGUUCUAAGAAUCUGGGACAUCCACGUUUCUAGAGUCACAGCUGGAUGUCGUCAUUGUGUUCUAAGAAUCUGGGACAUCCACGUUUCUAGAGUCACAGCUGGAUGUCGUCAUUGUGUUCUAAGAAUCUGGGACAUCCACGUUUCUAGAGUCACAGCUGGAGGUCGUCAUUGUGUUCUAAGAAUCUGGGACAAUGUGUUUUACCACUUUAAUACACACCAGUGAAUUUGUCCCAAUACUUUUGGUACCUUAAAGGAGGGGGACUAUGGUCAAAAAGGGCUGUAGUUUCUAAACGGUUCACCCAAUAUGGAUGAAAAUACCCUCAGAGCCAAAACAACCUAAAUGGGUCCCUGUCUCAAUACUGUUGGAGAUCACUGUAUCAUUUCCAAUCCAUAGUGCUGGAGUACAGAGCCAAAACAACCAACAUGGGUCCCUAGUGGUACGGACAGAAACAGUGGAGGGGGAGUCUGUAGUGGUACGGACAGAAACAGUGGAGGGGGAGUCUAGUGUGGUACGGACAGAAACAGUGGAGGGGGAGUCUGUAGUGGUACGGACAGAAACAGUGGAGGGGGAGUCUAGUGGUACGGAGAGAAACAGUGGAGGGGGAGUCUAGUGGUACGGACAGAAACAGUGGAGGGGGAGUCUAGUGUGGUACGGACAGAAACAGUGGAGGGGGAGUCUAGUGGUACGGACAGAAACAGUGGAGGGGUCAGGGAGACUGAGGGCCUUUAACUGAACAUCUUCUGAUGUGUUGCCAUGGCAGCACAUCAACCAGCAUCAACUUUGUGUUUGUAAUUCCAGAGGGUUUCUUGUUGCUUAUAACUGAUCUUAUGGAUAUCCAUCUACAGGGUGCAUUUAGUUACGUUACAGAAAUAAAUGUCCACUUUAAUUUCCGUUAAAACCUGUUUGGAUUGUCUCUACACAGUCAGACUAAUCACACACAGCGAACCUGCCAAUCAUAUAAUUCAACCGUAUCCAUUGGCCAGCCUCUGAUGCGCUUUCCAAUCUGUCAAAACGUUUCCAUGGUUUUGCACAUUUUUUUAUUUUUCGAUAGUAGUUUUUUGUUAUGCGGUUGUUCCAUUUCUGGGUGUUUUGUCCAAUAAACUAACGGUAUUCUGAAAUCA